AACGUAGGACGCAAGCGUUAUCCGGAUUUACUGGGCGUAAAGCGCGGGCAGGCGGUCUUGCCAGUCUGAUGUGAAAUCUCCCCGCUCAACGGGGAGCAGCCAUUGGAAACUACAAGACUGGAGUCUGACAGAGGUAGGCGGAAUUCCGGGUGGAGUGGUGAAAUGCGUAGAGAUCCGGAGGAACACCAGAGGCGAAGGCGGCCUACUGGGUCAGUACUGACGCUGAGCCGCGAAAGCCAGGGGAGCGAACGGG
rnacentral:rRNA from 1 species